UACGAAGGGGGCUAGCGUUGCUCGGAAUCACUGGGCGUAAAGCGCACGUAGGCGGCUUUUUAAGUCAGGGGUGAAAUCCUGGAGCUCAACUCCAGAACUGCCUUUGAUACUGAGAAGCUUGAGUCCGGGAGAGGUGAGUGGAACUGCGAGUGCAGAGGUGAAAUUCGUAGAUAUUCGCAAGAACACCAGUGGCGAAGGCGGCUCACUGGCCCGGUACUGACGCUGAGGUGCGAAAGCGUGGGGAGCAAACAGG
rnacentral:rRNA from 1 species